rnacentral:rRNA from 1 species
GACGAACGCUGGCGGCGUGCUUAACACAUGCAAGUCGAACGAAGUGGCGCACGGGUGAGUAAUACGUGGGUAACCUGCCCUCCUUUAUGGGAUAAGCCUUGGAAAAGGGGUCUAAUACCGAAUAAAUGGGGAUGGGCUCGCGGCCUAGAAGCUUGUUGGUGGGGUGAUGGCCUACCACGGCGGUGACGGGUAGCCGGACGGAGAGGGUGACCGGCAACAGUGCGACGGAGAUACGGCCGACACGCAGCAGCGAGGCAGCAGUGGGGGAUAUUGCACAAUGGGUGAUAGACUGAUGCAGCGAGGAUGUGUGGGGGAUGAGGGUUUUCGGGUUGUAUCACUGUUGAGGUAGUGAUUGGGUAGGUGGAGAAGAAGCGCCGGCUAACUACGUGCCAGCAGCCGCGGUAAUAC